rnacentral:rRNA from 1 species
CCUACGGGUGGCAGCAGUGGGGGAUAUUGCACAAUGGGGGAAACCCUGAUGCAGCGACGCCGCGUGUGGGAAGACGGUCCUCUGGAUUGUAAACCACUGUCCCCAGGGACGAAGAUGACGGUACCUGGGGAGGAAGCUCCGGCUAACUACGUGCCAGCAGCCGCGGUAAUACGUAGGGAGCGAGCGUUGUCCGGAAUUACUGGGUGAAAAGGGAGCGUAGGCGGGACUGCAAGUUGAGGGUCAAAUCUACCGGCUCAACCGGUAGCCGCACUCAAAACUGCAGUUCUUGAGUGAAGGAGAGGCAGGCGGAAUUCCUAGUGUAGCGGUGAAAUGCGUAGAUAUUAGGAGGAACACCAGUGGCGAAGGCGGCCUGCUGGGCUUUUACUGACGCUGAGGCUCGAAAGUGUGGGGAGCAAACAGGAUUAGAUACCCCGGUAGUC